GACAGAGGUGCCAAGCGUUAGCCGGAAUCACUGGGCUUAAAGCGUGCGUAGGCGGCCUUGUAAGUACGUUGUGAAAUCCCACGGCUCACCCGUGGAACUGCUGGGUAUACUGCGAGUCUUGAGCCACUUAGGGGCUGUCGGAACAGGCGGUGGAGCGGUGAAAUGCGUAGAUAUCGCCUGGAACGCCAAAGGGGAAAACAGACAGCUGGGAGUGUGCUGACGCUGAGACACGAAAGCCAGGGGAGCGAACGGG
rnacentral:rRNA from 1 species